rnacentral:lncRNA from 1 species
AGUCUUGAAUGGUUCUUCAUGCAGACUUUAGAUUUGAACCUUGGCGCUUGUUAGCUGCAGGUGCUAGCUCAUUCUUCUUCAACUUUUUGGAUCAAAACCAGACAUGUAGUGCUUGUGACUUCCACCAUGUCUUAAGCAGUUCACAUCUUCCAUCAACUUCUGCAUUUGGAUUAACUUCUUGCCCUUCUCCUUUUUUCUUUAUUGUGACUAACUUCUGUUGAUCACCUCGGACUGUUGACUCACAUUUUUGCCGCGAGCUCCUUUUGUUGCUGACUUGAAUUAUAAUCUGAGAUACUUUCCCUUUCUCCUGGUGGAUGCCUGAUUGCUGAACUCGAAUUGUACUUUGAGAUGCUUUCCCUUUCUCCAGGUGGACGCCUGACUGCUGAAGUUGAACUGUGUUCCCCUGCUCUCCAGGUGGGCUCCUGACUGUAUGAACUUGAAUGUAUCCCCUUGUUCUCCAGGUGGGAUCCUGACUGCUGAAACUUGAAUGUAUCCUCUUGUUCUCCUGGUGGGCUCCUGACUGCUGAAACUUGAAUGUAUUCCCUUAUUCUCCAGGUGGGCUCCUGAUUGCUGAACUCGAAAUGUAUUUCCUUGUUCUCCAAGUGGGCUCCUGAUUGCUGAAACUUGAAUGUAUUCCCUUGUUCUCCAGGUGGGCUCCUAAUUGCUGAACUCAAAAUGUAUUCCCUUGUUCUCUAGGUGGGCUGCUGACAAAUAUCAAUAAGAACUUGAAAGAUGAAACUUGAACUGUACUCCCUUGCUCUCCAGGUAGGCGCCUGAUUGCUGAAACUUGAACUGUUGUUAUUUGUUCUUCAGGUGGACGCCUGAUUGCUGAUAUUUCAACCGUUGUUCCUUGUUCUCCAGGUGGACGCCUGAUUACUGAAUCUUCAACUGCUUUUCCUUGUUCUUCAGGUGGACGCUUGAUUGCUAAUAUUUCAACCAUCUUAUCUUUGCAAUUGCCUUUCUUUGACUUGUUCUCCCUCGUUCCUCCAGGUGAGUGCCUGAUUACCAAUACUUGUGUCAAUCUUUCUUGAAACUUGAUUUGUUUUUCCUUGUUCUCCAGGUGGGCUCCUGAUUACUUGAUCCUGAACUGCUUUUAAUCCUUAACAUCCGUGUUGUUUUCCCUGUUCUUUAGAUGGGCACCUGACUUCAACAAAAUAGACAAAACAAAAAGAAAAAUUUCUGCCCCAGUUUGGUAACGGAGCGCAUCUGUGAGUGUUAAUUGGAUCAUUUUACUCAAUAUUUCUAAUAAUCUGUAAGCUAGAUCCCACUAUCCAGGAGGGUCCUGAAAUUCCAAAUUAAAGUUUAUCUUACGAAUGACGAUUUCAGCAUUAAACUGUGAUCUCUUAUAACAAAACUUACUUAUCU